rnacentral:rRNA from 9 species
AGACCCGAAACCCGGUGAUCUAGCCAUGGGCAGGUUGAAGGUUGGGUAACACUAACUGGAGGACCGAACCGACUAAUGUUGAAAAAUUAGCGGAUGACCUGUGGCUGGGGGUGAAAGGCCAAUCAAACCGGGAGAUAGCUGGUUCUCCCCGAAAGCUAUUUAGGUAGCGCCUCGUGAAUUCAUCUCCGGGGGUAGAGCACUGUUUCGGCUAGGGGGCCAUCCCGGCUUACCAACCCGAUGCAAACUGCGAAUACCGGAGAAUGUUAUCACGGGAGACACACGGCGGGUGCUAACGUCCGUCGUGAAGAGGGAAACAACCCAGACCGCCAGCUAAGGUCCCAAAGUCAUGGUUAAGUGGGAAACGAUGUGGGAAGGCCCAGACAGCCAGGAUGUUGGCUUAGAAGCAGCCAUCAUUUAAAGAAAGCGUAAUAGCUCACUGGUCGAGUCGGCCUGCGCGGAAGAUGUAACGGGGCUAAACCAUGCACCGAAGCUGCGGCAGCGACGCUGAUGCGUUGUUGGGUAGGGGAGCGUUCUGUAAGCCUGCGAAGGUGGCCUGUGAGGGUUGCUGGAGGUAUCAGAAGUGCGAAUGCUGACAUAAGUAACGAUAAAGCGGGUGAAAAGCCCGCUCGCCGGAAGACCAAGGGUUCCUGUCCAACGUUAAUCGGGGCAGGGUGAGUCGACCCCUAAGGCGAGGCCGAAAGGCGUAGUCGAUGGGAAACGGGUUAAUAUUCCCGUACUUGGUGUUACUGCGAAGGGGGGACGGAGAAGGCUAUGUUGGCCGGGCGACGGUUGUCCCGGUUUAAGCGUGUAGGUGUGUGUUCCAGGUAAAUCCGGUUCACUUUAACACUGAGGCGUGAUGACGAGGCACUACGGUGCUGAAGCAACAAAUGCCCUGCUUCCAGGAAAAGCCUCUAAGCAUCAGGUAACAUCAAAUCGUACCCCAAACCGACACAGGUGGUCAGGUAGAGAAUACCAAGGCGCUUGAGAGAACUCGGGUGAAGGAACUAGGCAAAAUGGUGCCGUAACUUCGGGAGAAGGCACGCUGACACGUAGGUGAAGUGAUUUACUCAUGGAGCUGAAGUCAGUCGAAGAUACCAGCUGGCUGCAACUGUUUAUUAAAAACACAGCACUGUGCAAACACGAAAGUGGACGUAUACGGUGUGACGCCUGCCCGGUGCCGGAAGGUUAAUUGAUGGGGUCAGCGCAAGCGAAGCUCCUGAUCGAAGCCCCGGUAAACGGCGGCCGUAACUAUAACGGUCCUAAGGUAGCGAAAUUCCUUGUCGGGUAAGUUCCGACCUGCACGAAUGGCGUAAUGAUGGCCAGGCUGUCUCCACCCGAGACUCAGUGAAAUUGAACUCGCUGUGAAGAUGCAGUGUACCCGCGGCAAGACGGAAAGACCCCGUGAACCUUUACUAUAGCUUGACACUGAACAUUGAGCCUUGAUGUGUAGGAUAGGUGGGAGGCUUUGAAGUGUGGACGCCAGUCUGCAUGGAGCCGACCUUGAAAUACCACCCUUUAAUGUUUGAUGUUCUAACGUGGACCCGUGAUCCGGGUUGCGGACAGUGUCUGGUGGGUAGUUUGACUGGGGCGGUCUCCUCCUAAAGAGUAACGGAGGAGCACGAAGGUUGGCUAAUCCUGGUCGGACAUCAGGAGGUUAGUGCAAUGGCAUAAGCCAGCUUGACUGCGAGCGUGACGGCGCGAGCAGGUGCGAAAGCAGGUCAUAGUGAUCCGGUGGUUCUGAAUGGAAGGGCCAUCGCUCAACGGAUAAAAGGUACUCCGGGGAUAACAGGCUGAUACCGCCCAAGAGUUCAUAUCGACGGCGGUGUUUGGCACCUCGAUGUCGGCUCAUCACAUCCUGGGGCUGAAGUAGGUCCCAAGGGUAUGGCUGUUCGCCAUUUAAAGUGGUACGCGAGCUGGGUUUAGAACGUCGUGAGACAGUUCGGUCCCUAUCUGCCGUGGGCGCUGGAGAACUGAGGGGGGCUGCUCCUAGUACGAGAGGACCGGAGUGGACGCAUCACUGGUGUUCGGGUUGUCAUGCCAAUGGCACUGCCCGGUAGCUAAAUGCGGAAGAGAUAAGUGCUGAAAGCAUCUAAGCACGAAACUUGCCCCGA